rnacentral:rRNA from 1 species
AUUGAACGCUGGCGGCAUGCUUUACACAUGCAAGUCGAACGGUAACAGGCCUUCGGGUGCUGACGAGUGGCGAACGGGUGAGUAAUGCAUCGGAACGUGCCCAGAGGUGGGGGAUAACGCAGCGAAAGCUGUGCUAAUACCGCAUGUGAUCUGAGGAUGAAAGCGGGGGACCAGGCAGCAAUGUUUGGCCUCGCGCCUUUGGAGCCGCCGAUGUCAGAUUAGGUAGUUGGUGGGGUAAAGGCCUACCAAGCCGACGAUCUGUAGCUGGUCUGAGAGGACGACCAGCCACACGGGGAGUGAGACACGGCCCAGACUCCUACGGGAGGCAGCAGUGGGGAAUUUUGGACAAUGGGCGCAAGCCUGAUCCAGCAAUGCCGCGUGCGGGAAGAAGGCCUUCGGGUUGUAAACCGCUUUUGUACGGAACGAAAAGGCUCUGGCUAAUACCUGGGGCUGAUGACGGUACCGUAAGAAUAAGCACCGGCUAACUACGUG